rnacentral:rRNA from 1 species
AGAUUGAACGCUGGCGGCAUGCCUUACACAUGCAAGUCGAACGGUAGAGUAGCAAUACUCGAGAGUGGCGAACGGGUGAGUAAUAUAUCGGAACGUGCCCAGUCGUGGGGGAUAACGUAGAGAAAUUUACGCUAAUACCGCAUACGAUCUAAGGAUGAAAGCGGGGGAUCGCAAGACCUCGCGCGAUUGGAGCGGCUGAUAUCAGAUUAGGUUGUUGGUGAGGUAAAAGCUCACCAAGCCGACGAUCUGUAGCUGGUUUGAGAGAACGACCAGCCACACUGGGACUGAGACACGGCCCAGACUCCUACGGGAGGCAGCAGUGGGGAAUUUUGGACAAUGGGCGAAAGCCUGAUCCAGCAAUGCCGCGUGCAGGAAGAAGGCCUUCGGGUGUAAACUGUCUUUUGUACGGAACGAAAGGCUCUUUACUAAUAAAGAGGCCCAUGACGGUACCGUAAGAAUAACGACACCGGACUAACUACGUGCCAGCAGCCGCGGUAAU